AAAAAGGACAAUGGGGGAGAUGGAAACAACCGCCCCUGCGGCACCACCGACACAUACCACGCCCAAUCUCCCCCAACCCCCUCGCCCCCACUUCCACAUCUCAGCCGAGAAAAAUCGCCGCCCCAAGCCCCCAACACUCCUACCGUGAUUGGGGUCUCCAGUGUAGGAGGAGCCGCGGCCCGUGGCGACUCUUCUCCCCUGCACCCCGAGCUUCGAUGGCCUCACUCUGGGAGCCGAAGUAGUCAAGGCGUGGUGGUCUCAAGCACAGAGACGCCGAUCCUGAUAGCGCCCUGGCCACACGCCGACGGCACGCCUUCAUGGCGGUCAUGCACAUGAGCGAUAGGAGAGGGUGGCACUAACUAUGGUUGCGGCACCGAUGAGUUCGCAGGACGAGCCCUGCGCGGCAUCGGCAAGACCGGUAUAGGUUGCCGCACCGGCGAGCUCUGUGGUACAUGCGACCAUGCCGGCGCAGUUCCUCAAGAUUGGAUGUCUGCACUCGCUGGUGAUAACAGCCAUCUUGGACGCCUUCUUCGAGGACCUCGGCUUGCUUAAGGCGAUGAUUGAUCGUCCGACUUACUCUGGUUGUGGCAUAGCAUGCACACUAGGUGUUUGUUCAUUUGUUUGUGCUGCCUUUGAUAGGUUCCCUGCCUGUCGAUUUUUUUUCUCUGCCAAGAAGUGCAUAUUGUUGAUUGUUCCUUCCUAAGUCUCUCGUACUGGCAUUUGUUUCUCUGUCAAGUUGUUAGCUUUGAGAUGCACUGUGCAGAUACAUAUACUUCUCUUUUUUUAUUGAAAGGAUACAUAUACCCCUACUUGUCUUUGUAACUGUAGCCCCGUCUAUCAGGUGAUUCUUUGACUUGUUGAGUUAACACCUGCUGUUUUUUCUGAAUGUUAUCUGAAUCUAGGAACCUACGUGAUUGCAUAAUUGUGGCUAAAUAUAUAUUGUUCAAUUCAUGUGUUGUGCUCCUACCUCUCUGCUCUUCUCUUGUGUGCUUACACCUUUUAUACUACUCAACUGUCUUCUAGAUUCCUGUGCGUAUCAUGAAUGAUUUCUUAUUUUCAGUUUAAUUCCAACAGAAUACGAGGAGCAUGCCCCUGGACAAUUUCAUAUGGUCAAAGCAUGAUUGCAUGAGUAUAACCUACAUCAGCCAUGAGGGUCUUCAGGUCUGCUCUAAAAUUAUAACUUGUAGUUAUUCUAAAUUGAUAAUGCUGGCAUGUAUGUGGAAUCAAAAAUCAUAGCUUGAAUUGCUUCUGAACAAUAAUAUUGUCUUCCAAUUCUAUAAUAUUUAUUUCCUAUGCCGAUACUAUUAACCUGUUCCUUGGUUUAUAUCUUCUCUAACUGGGUCAUUCUGUAUGUUGUGGCUGUAUCAGAGUAUAUGUCAACUAAUCAAAGAUGUAUACUCCUAAUGCUUUUUCUUACAAUUGUAUGGGUGAUUGUGAUGCACAAACUUCUAGCAGCAGUAGUGCUACCUGCUACUGCCAGUCGGUAGGCAGGCUGGUGCAACCGCCUGUCUUGAAGGUGAUGUCAUUUUGGGAAGCUUGUAUUAGAUAUAUAUUCUUUGGAGUGAAUAAAACCUUGAAUAAAAAAAGAAUGAAAAUAGAGGCGAGACUUCCCCUGUCUUAUUCUUAUAGGAGAUGAGAGACUUGAACGUGGGCUGGCAACAUCAACCUUUGUGCUGUCCAACACUCCACCAAGAAGAGCCCCUCAAUAAAACCAUAAGUAAAGAUUCCAACGUUUGAGAUUCUAGCAUGGAAAAAAAGGAUAUGGCGACUGAACUUAACCAGUCUGAUGCUACAUUUAUACUUGAAUAAAUUUGGUUUAUUCAUGGUUCAAAUGAACAGAUGGUGUUUAUUUAUCAUGUAAAGACAAAUGCAAUAUGGGAUAUGCACAAGUGUUCAUAUC